rnacentral:miRNA from 1 species
UUGUACAUUGAAUGGUAGCUAUCGG